rnacentral:lncRNA from 1 species
UUGUUAGUAUAUUGAAGAUUUACAAAAGAAUGGCCAUGUGUACACAUUUUUUACUACUGUGCACAUAUAUACUCAUCUGCAAAAACCAUUAUGGAUCAAUUGCAGUACUUAGACAUCACAAUUAUAAAUGGAGGAUUUUAAUAAUUAUUUAUAAAAAUAAUUUCAAAUGUAUUCCCUAGAAAAUUUAGGAUAAACAUUUUCUAACAUUUGAAUCAACUAUGCAAAAUCACUUGCAAUCAGUUUUUAGAGCCCAUUAACUUUGAUGU